GCAAUACCAUUUUCAGGAACCAGACCUAGAAAUGUCACACACUUUGUUCAAUAUCAAGAAGAUAGUGCCUUUUCAAACCAGGAUUAUUGAUUUAGAUGCUCAAAAGGUUCAGGGCCUUUCAUGGGAUUUUAUUGUUUGGAAUCCAACAAAAACAUAGUUGAGAUGAGGUCUUGGAAGGUGGCUUGUCAAGAUGUAUGUCUGCACCAUUUUACUCUUACAACUAUGCCUAUGCACACAGUUUACCACAGAGGAAGUAUUGGUGAGCAUAAGAGUGGGCAGCACAAUGGAAGCCCUCCUGAGUGCAGGACCUGCCACUUGUCCAGGGAGCCAUGACUGGGGAUGUAUUUGACCCCACGGCCACAGUAAGGAAAACAGUCUGGUCCCUGGGCCUUGCAACACGGAUUGAAACGGCAACAUUUCACAGAGAUGUCAAAACAGGAAGAACUUCUGGCAUAAUUAGCACUGAUAAUAGCAUAAAAAAAUACUAGCUAGUCUUUCUAAUGAAGAAUCCUGUUAAAGGACAAUCCAUAUCAAGUUUGAUUGUAAGACUGAUGAUGUAGGUCUGUCUGACCAUAUUUGCUGCUUGCAUAUUAAAUUUCCUAAGCUCAUUAAUCUGUAACUGUGAAUGGAGUUUUUUUUUUUUUUUCACUGAGACAGAGUUUCGCCCUUGUUACAGGCUGGAGUGCAAUGGUGCGAUCUCGGCUCACCUCAACCUCCACCUCCUGGGUUCAGGCAAUUCUCCUGCCUCAGCCUCCUGAGUAGCUGGGAUUACAGGCACGCGCCACCAUGCCCAGCUAAUGUUUUGUAUUUUUAGUAGAGACGGGGUUUCACCAUGUUGACCAGGAUGGUCUUGAUCUCUUGACCUCGUGAUCCACCCGCCUCAGCCUCCCAAAGUGCUGGGAUUACAAGCGUUAGCCACGGUGCCUGGCCUGGAGUUAUUUUUUAUGUGGUCAGAUGCUUCAAAUAAACACACCUAUCAAUGAAAUCUUAGGCUAUUACACUUAUAGGAUAUUCAACAGUAGAGUAGUGAUGCUUUAUAUCAUGUCCAUAGGUGAGAAUGUAGCCCCUAUAAAAGAUCCUCUGUGUUGCUACAGUAUCUUUUUAAACUUAGCUGUUUGGUGCUGAUCAUUUAAAUGCACUCACACAGAUGUAAAAGUAAACAGUGUGGUCAGAAGAAAAUGGUUUUGCCCACGAUGAAGGCAACUGAAUCUACCUUUAACUUUCCUAUAACUAGCUGUGUAAAUAUAGGGAAGAUCAUCUAGCCUUUCUUCAUCUUUAAACUUAGAACUUCAUGCUGAUCAGAACAGUUUUAAAGAUAAAUGAGACAAUAUAGAAGAAAACAGAUUGAAAAGUUUAAAACUAUAAAAGCUAAUCUGUUGAUUACAAAUAUUAUACAAAUAAUACGUUGGAUGGUUCCUAGAUUGUCCUGUGUGACUUUAGGAUGUUGUCAGUCUUCCACAUGUUCUGAGUAACG
rnacentral:lncRNA from 1 species